UUUAACAAAGAUAUUGGUUAACUUUAAUAACAGAUUGGUUGAAAAAUGACUAAUAUCAUUGGUUAAGCAAAUGUUAACUAAGAGAUUGGUAACUGACGCAGGUCUGACACUCAACGUCAAGUACGUAACUCUGCUUCUCAAUUUUCUGACAAAGCCGCCAUCUUGGUGCUGCAGGAAAGCCGUUUGAGAUAUUGGUGAAAUUCAAACACUUUGUGAGAUGACAGAAUAUUGCUGAAGGAUCCUACAUGGAAGCUGGCUGAUUACACGGAGUGAUUCCUCUGGUGUGGUGUACCUCAGAGAAAUAAACACUGUUGCAAGAGCUGAGAAGAUGGCCAAGAUAUCCUUAUUGCUGGAUGGUAGCUCUGGUCGUAGUGGACCAUAUCUGCAAAUGCUUCUGAACAUUGACAGAAUUUCUAAAGGAUCGCUGAGGACUCCCCCUCCAUGCGUGACAUCUUUGAGAAAUUUUCACGCUUUCUGGAGAUGCCAAGUUUG